GCGGAUGGGCAUGCGUCGCAUUAGUUAGUUGGCGGUGUAACGGACCACCAAGACGACGAUGCGUAGGGGUUCUGAGAGGAAGGUCCCCCACACUGGUACUGAGACACGGACCAGACUCCUACGGGAGGCAGCAGUGAGGAAUAUUGGUCAAUGGGCGGGAGCCUGAACCAGCCAAGUCGCGUGAGGGAUGACGGCCCUAUGGGUUGUAAACCUCUUUUGCCGGGGAGCAAAGUGCCGCACGUGUGCGGUUUGGAGAGUACCCGGAGAAAAAGCAUCGGCUAACUCCGUGCCAGCAGCCGCGGUAAUACGGAGGAUGCGAGCGUUAUCCGGAUUUAUUGGGUUUAAAGGGUGCGUAGGCGGACGCUUAAGUCAGCGGUAAAAUUGCGGGGCUCAACCUCGUCGAGCCGUUGAAACUGGGUGCCUUGAGUGGGCGAGAAGUACGCGGAAUGCGUGGUGUAGCGGUGAAAUGCAUAGAUAUCACGCAGAACUCCGAUUGCGAAGGCAGCGUACCGGCGCCCAACUGACGCUGAAGCACGAAGGCGUGGGUAUCGAACAGGAUUAGAUACCCUGGUAGUCCACGCAGUAAACGAUGAAUGCUAGUUGUCCGGGGCGAUUGAGUUCUGG
rnacentral:rRNA from 1 species